CACCAGGCAGGAAAACAUGGAAAAUGAGGAGCCGAUUAUGCAGUGAUCUCCCCAGGCAGCGAGGGCAUGUCCUCCUCCACUUGGUGAGGGUGAGCCCUCCCCCACCUGGUGAAGACUAAAGACUGAAGUCGGAGGAAUACAUCAUAAAUAAGCAAGCAGAAUGGGACCCAUUGCAAAAAGCACAUCUGUCCGAGAUCACCACACAGAAGUGCAUUGUGUGGGCUCAGAGGGACUCAGCAGCAGCUGAAGGGGAUGCUCUGCCUUUGAGAGAAAGAGAUGAAUGAAAAGAGAAGCCAACGUGCUGUGAGAAACGUCAAAAUCUGGAUGUUAGCCUUAACCCACAUCCUAGAGAAGCAUACUGUGUGCUCUCUAGGUGGGGUCACUCACAUUCUACUGUGAAAGGAGCCUUGUUUCCCCUUUAGACUUCUUAUUCUGCUUUCCACCCGCAGUAAAACCCAAUGCCAGAGCUGGGCAGAUGUACAUGUGGACUUGCUGAUGUCACUUUGCUGUGUUGUCUACUGGGAGGAACAGAGUAAGGCUUCUGUCACAUAGAAUUUUACCAGAAAACUGAAUACAAGACCCCGUGCACACUCAUGAGGCUCUCUACUACUGAGAUAUAUUGUAAGCAACAAUUUAUCUUCUGAAAGCAGCACACUACACAAAAAAGCCUUCCAAUUAUAAAACAGAGAAAGAAAAGGAGAAAAGCAAAGUAUAUACAUGUGAAAGCUUACAAGUGGCUGUACAUCGAGAGAAUGAAUGGAAAACGUAUUCAGCAGAGUCCCCAUAUCUAAGAGACACCCUGAAAAUAGUAAUGGAAGACAGAAAUGACAAACUUCAGGGACAUCCAUCUCUUGUAGUGUCACCACAAACUCAUCACGGAGAUGGCUGCAAGAAUCUUGGAUGCCAGAAAAAAAAAUGUUGGAGGAAGAAUUAGACUGCUGGUUCUAAUGAAAUCUAUCUGAGGAAACCCGAGGCAUCUCAAGUAUCCAGAAGGGAUCGCUCUGAGUCACCAGUGUCUCAGCAGAACUGUGACUCACUGCAACUUAAGGAAGGAAUGACCAUAACCUGGACAUAUUUGAACAAUUUUCAAAACUAUGUGUGUGUGUGUGUGUGUGUGUGUGUGUGUGUGUGUGUUUGUGUGUGUGUGUGUGUGUUCAACCUUAUUCUAGUUGUAAUUGCUAUGGGAAUUUACUUUAGUAUUUUAGGUUGAUAGCUAUAAGAUUCUGGAAGAGAAUCAAUUAUGAUAAAACAGACUUAUUUGCUUUAAGGAAUUAAUUGGUUUUCUUGGUUAGAAUUUGUUGUCUUUUGUCCUUACUUAUCCAUAGGAGGAAUAAGCUUUCCUACUGUGGGAAAGACUGAGUUUCUAUCCAAGAUGGGCCUUUUAAGUCUUUGGUAAUAGCUAACUAAUGGCAAGGAAGAUCCCUUGAAGAUGCUGCUCAUGACCUCUUGACUCUAGGCAUCUUCCACAAUCUCUUGUGAGAUACUAAUUCAUUUGGAUUAUAACCAUAAAAAACAGGCAUGUGUUUUUAAAUCAUACAAUACUUAAAUUAUAUAGUGCCAUACCUCAUAGGAGAAAUAAAGUAAUUUAAUCUUAAAGGACUAUUUGGUAUUAAUGUACUACAUUUCUUCAACUGGAAUAUCAUGUUCCCUACAGUCCCAGAUAUUAAAGGCUUGGUCCUUGAUAUGGCAUCAUUGAUACAUAGAAGACCUUGCAAAAAGUGGAACUAGUGGAAAGUGUGUGAUUCACUGGGGGAGUACCUUUAACAGGAAUAGUGGGCUAUUUCUCCUUCUGUUACAGGUUGUGAACCAAAGGAGUUUUGCUCUGCUUCAUGCAAACACUGCACUGUACUUCCUCACUGUUGACCCAAGAGCAUUGAGGCCAACAAAUCAUGAACCAAGACCUCCAAACCUGAGCCAGAACAAUCCAACCUCUUCUCCUUACACAUUCCUUAUCUCAAAUAUUUGUUGUAACAAUAGAAAGACAACUGCUACAUAGGAGUUCUGGAAGAGUUAACCAUCACUAGUGUAUUCGUUAGACACACAUGCACAUGUACACACAUGCAUCUUCACACAUACACAUAUUCAUGCACACACAAACAUGCAUCUGCAGAAUACACAUACACAUGCAUACACACACAGAUACAUGCACACUCACAUGCAUCCGUGCACACACACACACAGGUACACACACAUGCACAUGCAUGCACACAGACUGAGACACAUAUGUACAUUACUAGCCACAGGAAAAUGCUUCCUUGGGGUUUUAAUCAUUUAAUGGCCUUGAAAGUCUGUUUGAAAUAGUUCUUGGCUAUUUAUUGCGGGUGUCUCCAAACAACUACUGUGUCCCCCAUGGUCGUUAAUAUUCUUCCCCAAAGCUGCAUCUGUCAGAAAUGGUGAAAUGUGAUCCAACAUAAAUAGGAUGAGGUAUUUCCAUUGGUUCCUGUGGUCUACCACAGCUCGCUUAAGCUCCCAAGGGGAGACAGAGGUCCUGUUCAUCACACAUGGAAACUUUCUAGACUGUAAGUGUCAAACCAGGAGCAGAGAUGCCUGCGGGUUUCAAAGGAAAACUAAAUAAACAGCUGAUUCUUUUAUCUUCUUUUCUUUUCUAGCACACAUUCAUUCUACCAUAUCCUCAUUUAAAUUUCACUCUCUCACCUUUGUUUGAACUAAAGCUUGUGCUCACUUUGAGCCAAUAAAAACUACAAGAAGGAAACAUCUGCACGGCUGUGUAACCAAUCCUACAAUUAUCAGCAACAUGACAAUCUUAUUAAAGAUCACACAGGACAUUUGCAGAAUUUGUUUUCAAGACACAAUGAGUAAUGCACUACCAGUAGUUUAUAUNNNNNNNNNNNNNNNNNUAUAGACAUGCCAUCUAGAUUUAAUUUAAAACAAUUGAUAACUAAUAGAAUUGACCCAGGGUCCCAGCAAAUGCCUUACACAAAUUAUUGCAUUAGAAAAUACUGUUGAGUCCUAAGUGUGAGCUGCUCAGGAAACUCCUAUUACCUUCCUUGUGAAUAGGAAUUUUCAAUGAUAUACAAGGUUUCUGGAAAAGUAAUUCCAGAAACAAAGUUUUCAUGUUUUGAAGAGAAAUUCUAUUUCUAAGAAUACAAUUUAGGUAAAGAAUUAGAUCUUUGCACAAUGAUUCAGCUACAAAAAGUUCUUAGGAAUUGUGAUUAAAUAAAUUGCCCCAAUGGAUGUUCUUAGUCAGUGUACAGAGACUGAAACACCUUUCACUUGGUGACUUGUAGGCAUUCUCUCGUGGUCUUCUGGGGGCUGGAGAGAUGUCUCAGCAGUUAAGAGCACUAGCUACUCUUUCAGAGGACUGAGGUUCAGUUCUUAGUACUGAGGUGAUGGAAAAGGACUGUCUGUAAUGCCAGUCCAGGGGUUCUGAUAUCCUCUUCCGGCUUUCUUGGGUACUGGACACACGUGUUAUACAGACCUAUGAGCAUAAAAACACCCAUAAACAUAAAAUAAAAACAAAUCAUUAAAAAAACAAGUUCUGACCGAUGUGAGAGAAGUCAGGCAGAGGCGUGGGUUUUUGUUGAGCCUCUAAGUACAGAGAUUAUAUCUGCUCGUGUUUCCUUAGUCAGACAACCAUAGGCCCCAUAACAGCUGGGAAAUACACUUCAUCUUUGUUCUUAGACAACAGAGGAGAUAGAGUUUGGUGAGCACAUCACAGUUUGUCUAUCAAACUAUGAUCAUUAAUAUAUUUCAAACUAACUUUCAAUAAAUCUGCCCAGCAGAAGACUGAGGAGUUAUGAAGCCAAACAAGCAAACAAACAAAAGGAUAGUUGAAUAAAUAAAAAGAUGUUCUGGGCACACUGAGGGAAAGCUGUCAUUGAAAGCCAUGGUCUGGGCCCACAUUUCUAGUUGCUAAAUGACCAUGACUUAUGAAAACAUAAAAUGCUGUCAUCUCUCAGCUGUCACACUUCCUGGUUUCCCAAACUUCCCUUUGUAUUUUCCCUCUUGUUUGCUUAAUAAGGGAAGCAUGACAGGAAGAAAAAGUUAUGCUAUGGAAUAGGAUAGGUUCCAUUUAUCAGCCAGAUUAAUUUCCUUUUAUUUUAAAAAAAAUGUGGGAUUGCCCUACUUUUUAUUUUACUAAAUAGAUCAGUUGAAAUAACUUAUGAAACAGACUCUGAAGCAUAUGUGAUGUAGAGAAUGGGCUCUAACAAGCACAAAUGGUACAGGGACACCAAUUGUUUUUUUAAUGGCAUCGCAUAGCACGAUAGAUUAUUCCAAUGGGCAUUACUUUGCUGGAAGCAGACUCAGCUGGGCUCCAGUUUAUACCAGUGCUUCUCAGCCUACAACACUUCACUGUUUCUUCUGGGUUUCUUGUAAAAUCCUGCAUCCUCUCAGAAACUUCCCAAAGUAUAUAUUAUGAGCAAGGGAUAUUUAUUCCAAAUUUCUAAAUAAAUAUUUAACUUUAACUUUAAUUAUAUUUGACAUUGGGCAGUGUUUCCUUUCCUGGUUAAACACCAGGAGCUGCCUUUAAAACUAAGAAAGUACAUUUUGUCGGACACAGUGGCUGCUUCCCAUCCAGGCAUCUUGUCUUCUGCAUCUCAUCACUGACAGAGUCUGCCUCGUUCUGUAUGCCCUGAAAAUGUCAGUCUCUGCUUGUUUGAGUAUCUAUAGUGCAGACACAGGGUCUAGAGGGUGACCAGAGGAGAAACCUAGAGAGCAGGUCUCAGAAAGGUCUUUCUCCUCACUGUGAGUUAGCUGUGGUCUCAGGACCCUAAGCAUCCUUGUAUCCAAGCCAUUAGGGGAUGGUUUUGUGGUUUCUUUUAUUUAGAGAUGGCAUCUAUUUUUCUGCCUCCUGAGUCUAGGCUGAUUUCCUGAUCUAACCAGAGCAAUAGAAUAUAGCAGAAGUGGUAGUGUUCUGUGUUGAAGCCUUGCCACAAGAAACCUUGAGCUGCGAAGAUUACAGAGUGAUGGAGAAGGGAGCUUGCCAGGCCCCGUCCCCACCAAAGCAUCCAUUUAACUGGUGAAAAAAAUUAAUAGGAAAAUGAAAUUAAGAACUAGGUAAAGUUAGCAUUUAUUGACCUAAGAACAUAUAUCAAGUGGAAAAUCUACUAAAUCAGUAUAAAUACUAAGACGCUGUGUCCUACUCUGAUACUUUGGAACACUUUGCGGAAACACUGUUCCUCUAAGGCAGUAACAUCUUCAAGGACCACUAUAACUUAAUUGUAUUGCGGGAUUGAGUAACCCUUAGAACUAUCUAGUUCCUGAUUUCUUGUUGCAUCUUGUUGAAUCUUGGCUUAAUGAUUCAUGACUGACAUAUUUCACUUUUGCAAACUCUAACAUUUUUAUGGUUCUCUGUAUAAACUGAUCCAUAGCAAACAAAGAAACCAUGUAGUAUAACAAUUUCUCCUGCUGUAUUUUUUUUCUAGAGAGUUGCCUUUACCCACCUGCUGCUUCACCCUAUCAUCGUUUCUCUGUCCAGUCACCCUCUGUUUACAUGUUUUUGCCACUAUUAUGUAUGAUACAUCAUGAUUCAUUAUAAUGAAUAAAUGUUAUAAUAUUUAUAUAA
ensembl:antisense Gm15581 predicted gene 15581